GACGAACGCUGGCGGCGCGCCUAACACAUGCAAGUCGAACGAGCGAGAGAGAGCUUACUUUCUCAAGCGAGUGGCGAACGGGUGAGUAACGCGUGAGGAACCUGCCUCAAAGAGGGGGACAACAGUUGGAAACGACUGCUAAUACCGCAUAAGCGCACAGUACCGCAUGGUACGGUGUGAAAAACUCCGGUGGUAUGAGAUGGACCCGCGUCUGAUUAGGUAGUUGGUGGGGUAACGGCCUACCAAGCCGACGAUCAGUAGCCGACCUGAGAGGGUGACCGGCCACAUUGGGACUGAGACACGGCCCAA
rnacentral:rRNA from 1 species